rnacentral:rRNA from 1 species
UUUAUUUAUAGCUCUUUUUAUGAAUCUGUGAAAUUUAAAUAAUAAACUAGGAUUAGAUACCCUAUUAUUUUAAAUGUUAAUUAUAUUUACCAGGGUACUAUUAGUUAAGGUCUUUAAACCCAAAGAAUUUGGCGGUAUCUCAUUCCAUUCAGAGGAACCUACCCCGNGAUUGAUAAUACACGAUUUACUCUACUUAAUUUAUUUGUUUGUAUAUCUCCGUUAUCAGAGAAUCUUUUUAGAGUUAUAAUUCUCAAGAUUUAAAUUAUAAAAUAUUUCAGGNNNAU